GUCUUGGUGAUGCUCAUCUCCUCUCUAAGUGCUGUCAGCUACUUUUUCCUGCUCCUCCACCUCCUUCUCGCUGGCUGUCACUCUGGCCCCCAUUGGCGGACAGUUGAGCUGCUUGGGCUGUGUUCUCUGUCUUCAGCUCCACACUGGCCAUGUUCAUCAGCUCAGUCUUGGUGACACUCAGCUCCACUUUCUGCUCCACCACCAAUGGGUGACCUUACCUCAUACCAGGGAACAGGAAAGCUGUGCAGUCGGGCUCACAAAACAGGCUUGUGAGGAGAAUCCCUUUUGAGGAUUAUCUGAAGACAUGGACAAAGAUGGCCACCACUAAAGCUGGCUCGUGGAUGAGGAAGGAAUGUAUGUCUUUCUAUCUAAAUACAGGCACUCCUCAUGACCUUGGAAUGUACAUUAGGAGU
rnacentral:lncRNA from 1 species